rnacentral:rRNA from 1 species
GAUGAACGCUGACAGAAUGCUUAACACAUGCAAGUCAACUUGAAUUUGGGUUUUUAACUUAGGUUUGGGUGGCGGACGGGUGAGUAACGCGUAAAGAACUUGCCUCACAGCUAGGGACAACAUUUGGAAACGAAUGCUAAUACCUAAUAUUAUGAUAAUAGGGCAUCCUAUAAUUAUGAAGGCUAUAAGCGCUGUGAGAGAGCUUUGCGUCCCAUUAGCUAGUUGGAGAGGUAACGGCUCACCAAGGCGAUGAUGGGUAGCCGGCCUGAGAGGGUGAUCGGCCACAAGGGGACUGAGACACGGCCCUUACUCCUACGGGAGGCAGCAGUGGGGAAUAUUGGACAAUGGACCAAGAGUCUGAUCCAGCAAUUCUGUGUGCACGAUGAAGUUUUUCGGAAUGUAAAGUGCUUUCAGUUGGGAAGAAAGAAAUGACGGUACCAACAGAAGAAGUGACGGCUAAAUACGUG